GCCAUAUGUAAUUUGUGAAACUGCACUCACACCCUUCUUCUCAGGAAACCUUGGGUGCUACACCGGAUCAGUCCCAGUACCACAGGACCAAAAGAAUAGGUUUGAGAGAUAAGAAGUAAUCCAGGCACUCCAAAGUUUCCAAAAAAAGGCAAUUUUUAUUGGACCCCCGAACCAAAAAACAAAGUUUCGACCCUAAGGCCUUUAUCAAGCUACUGAACACAUACACAGCAAACAAUAUAUAUAGGUGUAUAAUUAAUUAACAAAUGCUAAAACAUGUGACAUAACGAGAUUAGUACAUAAGAUCAAUUAACCAGAUUAAUUAACCAUAUAAAACAGUCAAUGACCUUUAUUCAUUCCCCAUCCUACCUUAUCCAAUUGCUAUCCAAUACACCAGGGCUCUCAAUUCCCAUAGGGCAAUAUACUCAGUUAGCAGUUCCAUAGUUUGUAAGAAAUUUCGAUUGUCAAAAAAUAUUAUUUCAUUUGAUUCAAUACAUAUAUUGAUUCAAAAGAUGCCGGAAUGGAUUAGAUGCUUGUAUUUCCAGGUCGGCCACAUGAUCACAAUCAUGUGGUUAAAUCUAACGUACUGGGGCACAUUUCCUGACAGAUCACAUGAUAAUGUCCACACGGAACAUAUCUAAUGCGCACGCGCAACAAGGCACAUGUGCUGUCUUGUCUUUUUCACACAAUCACUCGAACACAUCCAAACAAUCAUCUAAGUCCGGAUCCCAAUUAAAAGCGAAUGCGUAACAAGGUGCACACGCACACCGCCCAUCUUCGUCCGGUCGAUUAGCUUCACAUAUCAAUCAUUAAUUGUGUUACCAGGUAUCUCUUACAAAAAUACGGGACACUUAAAGUGACAAUACUAUAAGUUAAAUUAUUAUAAUAAAUAAUCUCAUGUGCAAUAAUUUCGCAAUAUAUUUCGAAAUAAUAGAAACAACUGGAUAUUAUCAUUAGUAAAUAUCCGGUCCUAUAAAGGGAAUGACAGCCCAGAUAGUG